CAAACUCCUGGACUCAAGCAAUCCUCCCAUCUCGGCCUCCCAAAGUGCUGGGAUUACACGUGUGAGCCACCAUGCCUGGCCUCAUUGAUUUUUAAAGUAGGACAAGGUAAAGAUCUAACCCCCAAGCCAGGUGUGGUGGCUCACGGCUGUAAUCCCGGCACUUUGGGAGGCUGAGAUGGGCGGUUCACCUGAGGUCAGCCUGGGCGACAGAGGGAGACUCCAUCUCAAAAAAAAAUAAAAAAAACUCCUUACUGAGGUGUUGGCCCAGUGGCCCAAUCCCAGGCCCUGGCCCAGUCUUGAGGGCAGGCAGUGUUGUCACUGCUUUGCUCUUUGACCUGUGGUUACUGCUUCCCAAGGGCCAGGCUUGUUGCAUACUCACUAGCUUUCACGCAGCCCACCCAGCAGCAGCUUACUCUGGCCCUGCCUAGAAAGGCAGAAUGCAGGAAACCUGGCUUUCCGGGUUUUUUUCUUUCCCUUUUUUUUUUUUUUUGGUAGAGACGGGGUUUUGCUGUGUUGCCCAGGCUGGUCUCACACUUCUGGGCUCCAGCAAUCCCCCCACCUCGGCCUCCCAAAGUUUUGGAAUUACAGGUGUGUGGCUUAGCGCCCAGCCCAGGUUUUUCUUUUCUUCUCCCCACCACACAAGCCUUUCCGAACUUGGGCGUUGCCUCCCACUUUCCUAUACCCCUUCCCAUCCAUGGCUUGUUUUUGUUUUGAUUCAGAACAGGCAGAAAUUAAUCUACCUGAUAUACAGAAAUUCAUAUAGAUGAAUUUCUACCUGUUCUGAAUCAAAACACAAGCCAUGUGCAGUGCAUGCCUGUAGUCCCAGCUACUUGGGAGGUGGCUUGAGAGGAUCACUUGAGCCCAGGAGUUCCAGUCCAGCCUGAGCAACACAGUGAGACCCUCAUCUCUAAAAAGCGAAUAAAAACAAAAAAAACACCAAAACAACCAGGAUGUCUCCCAUUUGCACUCCACUUAAGUGUGGAGACUUAGGCUGAUCACAUCACUGCACUCCAGCCUGAGUAACAGACUGAGACCCUGUCUCAAAAAACAAAAUGAGACAAAAAACCUGCUCGUAAUAAAGUGUGAAAUUAUAAAAAGAACCUCUGUUUUUAAAAGUUUUC
rnacentral:lncRNA from 1 species